UGGGGAAUAUUGCACAAUGGGCGCAAGCCUGAUGCAGCCAUGCCGCGUGUAUGAAGAAGGCCUUCGGGUUGUAAAGUACUUUCAGCGAGGAGGAAGGCGUUGUGGUUAAUAACCGCAACGAUUGACGUUACUCGCAGAAGAAGCACCGGCUAACUCCGUGCCAGCAGCCGCGGUAAUACGGAGGGUGCAAGCGUUAAUCGGAAUUACUGGGCGUAAAGCGCACGCAGGCGGUCUGUCAAGUCGGAUGUGAAAUCCCCGGGCUCAACCUGGGAACUGCAUCCGAAACUGGCAGGCUAGAGUCUUGUAAAGGGGGGUAGAAUUCCAGGUGUAGCGGUGAAAUGCGUAGAGAUCUGGAGGAAUACCGGUGGCGAAGGCGGCCCCCUGGACAAAGACUGACGCUCAGGUGCGAAAGCGUGGGGAGCAAACA
rnacentral:rRNA from 1 species